rnacentral:lncRNA from 1 species
UUCAAUACCCCUUCUUCAUUUAAACUAGCCCACCUCCUUACCCAGCCCAAAUCGGGUCGACCUGACCUGACCCACCACCCAAACCCUUAUUCUUCUUAAUUAACCUAAUAGACUAAGACCUAGGACAAAAAAGAGAUAUAGAAUCAGCCGCAAAGGACCAUUUUCAAGGACACCCUUAUAUCAUUCUUCUUCCAAAGAAGAACUUCAUUCCAGCCUUCGACCUUCUUCAGCAUCACAACAGCCACUGCCAGAUCCAUCUCCCUCACUCUAAAACCCCCAAAAACGAACUCACCCUUCACCACCAAGCGGCGAACCAGAAGACCCCAUAUCUUUUUGAAGCCAAACGAACUCCCUCUCCCAAAGAGCUACAGAUGCAACGCCCAUACAUAUGCAGAGGCGCAUACACCAUGGCUAUGUAACCCAACUGGUUUCUCAUUUCAGCCAUGAAAAAUCCGCAAGAAAGAAGUUCAAAAUGAUUCGAAAAAUACAAAAAUAGAAAUAAAACAGAGUGUGGAGAUGGAUUUCAGGGAGACUUUGAAUAGAAAAGAAAAGAGUUACUUUGAUUACUGAUUCGUUUUUGCUACUUAAGAUACCAAAAAUCAAACAAAAAUAGGUCUUAGUGGUCUUCUUUCUGAUUUCAACUUCUGUCAUCGAUGAAGGAAGGUCGAAGUUCGAUUCUGUCGAUGAUAACGUUUCUAUUCUUCAUUUGAUUCUGAUUUUUGGUUUUCGAAUGUGGGAAUGGAGUUAAGCCAAGGUUGAUUCGAGUUUGUCGCCGAUUUGAGGUUCAAUUAAUGUCAUGCGUGUUCCUAUUCGCAACUCUUGAAUCAUUUUGCUGCUGUACUUUGCAUUCAGAUCCAAUAGAUUUGAGGCAUUGUAUUUGCACCUUCCCGAUUAAUCGGAAAGUUUCGCACGUUAAGGUCUAAUUCUUCAUUCCUUUACAUAUUCUAGUGUUAAUUGUGUUUGGUGAUUUGAUUCUGUGACUUGUUAUCUAUGAUUUUGAAUAUGUCCGCUCGUAUGUCUACUUGAACUAACUGAGAGUGAAUUGAAAUUGCACGUUCAGUUAGUUGAAUCGUACGCUUAAUUUGGCUUCGAAUAUUGGACUGCCAUUGGUUGGAUUCAUAUGUCUAUGAUUUGUAUGUUUACUUAGUGAGCACAAAAAUAACAGUAGUAUACAUUUGUUAAGAACAACAUUGUAUUUUACCAAUCUCAUUAGUUGGUACAGUGAAACCCUUGUUUCUCUUUAAAUGUGAUUGCAAAAACAUAAUCGGAAUGCUUUGCUAUUAGGGUUAGAUUUAUUUGGUGUUUUCUAUGGUUGAUUGUUUCUUUUAAUAAAAUGAAUUGUGAAGACCCGAUUAUCAGGGAUGGAUGCUUGUUUGGUUUAAAAUCUUAGAAUAGAGAUAUAAUAUUAAGGAGUUGAUAUGGUGCAAAUGGGCUUUCACGUUGCUUUUGUCAUUGGUUUUCUAUUUUUGUCUCAUGUUAUUAUUUCAUUAGUUUUAUUGGUUAGCUCUUAAUAUUGUGUGUAUUUCCGUCCUGGGUGCUGCAUAUUUGUUCAUUUGUAUGAGUUUGCUUAUGAACCAGGUUUGUGGGGAAAGGUUAGCCCAUUAUAGAAUAACUCACUUACAUGCUUUAGAUAUCAGGCUCGGCCUAAUAAUAAUAAAAAUAAACAUGUUGCAAAUCCGGGUGUGCAUUUCAUGUGACCCGGCUACAAUUUCUAACAAAGUUAAAUAGAACGUGUUGUGAAUCGCAGGUGCAUUUCAUGUAGCGUGGCUUACGAUAUGUUUUAAAUAACCUUGAAUUUUCCUAAAUAAUUAAAAGCGGUUAAAAAAUUUAAAAAUGCACAUAGGUUUAAAAUAAGAUAAUUAGGCCAAUAGUAAUAGUUGAGCGACCGUGUUAAAAUCACGGAACCCGGAAAUGUCUAACACCUUCUACCGGGUUAACAGAAUUCCUUACCCGAAUUUCUGUGUUCGCGGACUAUAAAACAGAGUCAAUCUUUCCUUGAUUCGGGAAUUAAACCAGUGACUUGGGAUACCAUAAAUCAUCCCAAGUGGCGACUCUGAAUUUUAAACAAAAUAAUCCUGUUUCGGUUGUCACUUAAAUUGGAAAAAACUCCCUUAUACCCCUCCGCGGGGGUAGUAAAAAGGAGGCGUGACAGCUCUGGCGACUCUGCUAGGAAUAAAAACCCAGAAUCUCUGUUCACGGUUCAAGAAUUCGAGCUUAGAAUAAUUGUUAUACUUGGCUUUAUUUAUUAUCUGGUUUUAUUUACGUGUUUGGACCUAAUGUGCUAAAUUUUGCUUUUUACCGCUUUGAUAUUGUUGUACUGUAUAUAAAUUGUUAUGAAACCCUCCUCUCUCUGAGUCUUCUAAAAUCAUCUGGGAAGUGUGCACUUCGUGUGACUUAUCUUCUGUUAGAGUCAUAUUCCAAUUUUAGAACGAGGUUUGGACAAGUUGUAAAGUCGGUGAAGCUUCUGUAUUCCCGGUACGCUGCCCCUCUCGGCUCGAGCUGUCCACUCGGGUAAGCCAGGUCUAGUAGGAAUGUUUGUUUGCAUCAUGUGCAUUUGACUUUGGGGACUCAACACAGGGAUUGGGUCCGUCUAGGACAGGUUUACCCAAAAAAAUUAAAAGACCGUCCUGAUGCAUUCUAUGUGCUACAUGUUGCAAUCUUCAAGGGUAAAAGGGGUCAUUUAGUGGACCAAUGAGGUUUAAGAACGAAAAGAGGUUGAAGUAUAAAAAUAAAGCAAGUGGGGCCCAGUUAUAAUUUUUUUUUUCACACUCUUUAAAAAAAUGAAAAUAAAAAAAUCCAAAAAAAGAGUUUGCACUUUCCCCGUCAUUUUUUUUUAAAAAAAUUAAAAAACAGAGAAAAAGAAAAUCCAAAAAGAAUUUACAUGUUUCAUCAUUUUACAAAAAAAAAAAGACAAAAUAUAUUUUCUCUAAAUUAGUUGUUAGUAAAACCAGUCGAUCAGCGGUGUAGUCGACGGUUCCGUGCCUUCCCCCUCAAGUUGUCCUCUUGAGGGUACAGUCUAAAACCCCUGAGUAGCCUUACUCUGGUCAAAAUUGCGCAUGCAACUAAAUAGCCGAUAUGCUGAUCGUAAAUGCAUAAAUAGUCGAGUUUGGUGGGGGUAAGGCCGUAACCCUUUAUUUUGCAGAAAAUGAGGAACGAGGUCCCCAGCUUCGGUAUGGUUAGCACACCUUCACUCUAGCUAGACUACUGGAGGAAUCUCCCAUCAAGUGACCAAAUCAAUAAAUGGAAAGAGAGGGCCGUCAAAUCUAGUGAGAAGCUGGAAUAUCUGGAAUGCAGCCUAUUAGAAUUGGAAGGAAAAGUGAGGAAGAGAGUCACCGACUGCCAGAACGCUGAAGGAAAUGAAGGAGAACAUUUGGCAAAGGUGUUUUUACUAGUGAACCUACGCGAACUGGAGGAUUUGAUCAACGAGAGCAUUCAACCUGAGGAGGGUCCUUCCGAGACCAAAUAGAUUAGGUAUACUCGCUUUCCAAAUGUAAUAAGGCCAAGUGCCAGUAGUGACUCAUUUUAUUAUCUUAGUAUCGUUUUGGGAUUCGUCUAUUUUUAUAUUAUGAAAUGAAGCAUUUAUUAGAAUUUGAAGUUCUCCAAAUUUAUUUGUCGCUAGGCCUACUUUAGGCACAACGAGGCUCCCAAAUUAAGACGCGAGAUUACAUUUUGCAAUAUAUAUUUAAAUACUGCAAGCAUUUUAGAAUCCUCACUGACUUGUUACCAUUUUGUUUUUGCUUAUUUCAUUAUGAUUAUUCCCAUACACUUAGGUUGGUUCACUCAUACUGGCCUCAUCAGCAUACCAUACUAGAUCCAGAGGCCCUCCUCCUCCAAGAAACGUAAAAAGUAGAGGGAAUGCAAAGAUGGACAACUUAAGUGGGAUCCGAAAGGAAAAUGUUGAGAACGCAGAGACUUCAGAUGGCCGUAGUACUCCGGCCCCGAAUGACUUUGUUUUGAGACUGGAACAAAAGAUACUAGAACUGCAAGGAGAACUUGAGCAAGUCCGUAACUUGACAAACCUGUCACUUACCCUUAAUGUCCAUGACAUCCACCAACAAAACACAAAGAACUCGACACCUCCUCAGAACGGACAAAACCAACAACCACAAAAUCCUCCCACACCAAAUCAAUACGCUACUCCACCCCAAAACAUCAAUCCACUACCAGUACCAACUCCACCACAACAUCAUCAUCAACCAAUUUUGUACCCACCGACCACCACUUACAACACUCCCCAAAAUACACCACCACUCAUUCCCGAUCCACAAAACUCCACCAAUGACCAUCACUACACCCAAGUUCAUGGGACCCAUCAAAGCAACCCUAUAUAUGUGGAAAUUGUACCUCACUCUACCUAACCAAUCUCAUAUACACCAAAAUCUUCCGAGAAGGACCUGCUCAUUAAAAACAUGGAUAAAGAACUCAAACUGUUAACAAGCCUAAUUUAAGGGGUUGAGGGAAAUAGAGGAAUAAAGGGUUUGAACUGUGAAGAUCUGUGCAUACACCCGGAUGUCGAACUACCAGAAGGAUAUAAACCUUCCAAGUUCGAAAUGUUCGAUGGUACAGGUGAUCCCAGGGUUCAUCUAAGGACCUAUUGUGACAAGUUUGUCGGGGUCGGAAAAUAUAAAAAGAUUCGGAUGAAGCUCUUUAUGAGGAGCCUUACUGGGGACGCUUUGUCUUAGUAUAUCAGCCAGAAUCUCAAGAAAUGGUCUAAUUGGGUAAGCAUGAUGUCAUAGUUCAUGGACUGAUUAAGGUUUAACAUGGAGAAUGCACCGGAUGUCUUUUACAUUCAGAAUCUCAAGAAGAAACCUACUGAAACUUUUCGCGAGUAUGCUACUCAUUGGAUGUUGGAAGCAGCCAAGGUCAGGCCCUCUUUAGAUGAAGAACAGAUGAAUAAAUUCUUCGUCAGGGCACAAGAUCCACAAUAUUAUGAGAGGUUGUCAUCGAAAAUCAAAAAUUCUCUGAUAUCAUCAAACUAGGAGAAAUGAUCGAGGAAGGAAUCAAGAGUGGGAUGGUAACAAAUUUUGAGGCACUACAAGCCACAAAUAAGGCACUACAAUCAGGUGGCAUAUCAAAGAAGAGAGAUGCUGGGGCAGUAAUGGUGGCCCAAGGCCCAAAAUCUCCACUAACUUAUCAAACACCUCCACCCACAUAUCAAACACCUUCACCUACAUAUCAAGAACCUCCGCCUACAUACCAAGCAUCACUGCCUACAUAUCAGCCUUUAUCUCCUAGAUAUUCCCAACCAGCCUCUGUCCAUCAUACCUACAACUCCCAACCAUCCCACUUCCAAUCACCACCAGCUCGCCAAAAUUAUCCAAGACCAAGCCCCAACUUCAACCGCAAGCUACCUAGACAAUACACCGCCAUUGCGGAGCCCAUCGACCAACUGUAUGAAAGGUUGAAAGCUGCAGGUUACGUCAAUCCUGUUCCCACUGUGGCACUAGAAAAUCCAUUCCAAUGGGUCAAUCUGAACAAAAUUUGCGCAUACCAUUCCGGUAUGAAAAGGCACACCACUGUUGAGUGCCGAACAUUGAAGGAUAAGAUCUAGACACUCAUUGACAACAAGGUCAUACAAGGAAAGGAAGUCGCACCUAAUGUCCGCAACAAUCUCCUCCCUGAUCACUGAUGUGAUGGUAUACAUGUGAUAGAGACAAAUGAAGAAUGGGAACCUGAGGGUUCGAUCGGGCUUAAUCGAGAAGACGAUGACUUCAAGGUUGAAGUCACACUUAGUCCUAUCGUGUUCCAAACUCAAGCACCAAUUGAUGUUGAGGUAACCGCAUCAGUCCUGUUCGAAGUAGAAGUGGCUCCACCCGCAGCCACCUUCGCUCCAUUUGAAGUAAAGGUGGUCACACCUUUUACUAUGACGGUAUAAACCACACCUUCAUUCAACUCAAAGGCAAUACCUUGGGAUUAUAUUGCCAAGGCUUGGCGAAAAGGGAAGACCAGGGUAGAGGAAUCUGAUGUUGCACAAGAAAUGACCAGAACCGGAAGAGUCUAUGCACCUGAACACCUGGGAGGUUUGAGUAAGGAGGCCUCUACUAAGCAGCCUAUCAUUGAGACCGGGCCGGAUGACUUGUGGAGGGAAGUGAAAGCAAAGGAGUACUCUGUUGUUGACCAUCUGAACAAAGUCCCUGCUCAGAUAUUUAUCCUGUCACUAUUGCAGAAUUUAGAGGCAUACGAGAACACUUUAAUGAAAGUGUUGAGCGAGGCUUAUGUACCCAAUAACAUCACCGGUGGAGAAAUGGCCAACAUGGCCAGUCAAGUGUUGGAGAGCCAUAAUAUUAUCUUCCAUGAAGAUGAGCUACUGCCUGAAGGUUUUAAUCACAAUCGAGUGCUGCAUAUCACGGUACAAUAUGAAGACAAGUUCAUUUCCAGGGUCCUGGUUGGUGGAGGGUCAAGCUUAAAUAUUUGUCCAUUGGACACCUUUAAAAGGUUGGACAAAGGUUUCCAUGAAAUACGGAUGGGAAACAUGAAUGUGAAGGCUUUUGAUGGGUCCUAGAGUGCCACGAUUGGGGAAAUAAACCUUUGCUUGCAGAUGGGGCCAACUUGGUUCGACGUUGAAUUCCAAGUGCUUGACAUACCAGACUCAUAUAAUCUUUUGUUAGGCCGCCCAUGGAUCCAUGCUGCUGGAGCAGUGCCUUCCACGCUACAUCAAGCCGUGAAGUUUGAAUGGAACUGCCAGGAGGUAAUCAUUUACGAAUUUGGAAGUAACCCAUCUACACUAGCCAAACCAUCCUAGCCAUUGGACAUAGAAGAAGGCUAAGAGGGGAAACCUAUCAUCACAUCGAACGGGUCAAUGCCGUCGAGAAAGAUAAGUGGUGGAGUGACAAGAUAGAAAGCAUACUAGAAUAGUCCAGAUAUGAACCCGGCUAAAGGUUGGAAAAGAACCUCUAAGGUAUCUCCAAGCCAAUAUAGCUGAAAAAUCAUCGUACCACCUUUGGGCUCGGAUACCAAUAUACAUGGCAAGAGUACAAGGAUUGGUCGCCUCCAUGGCAUGGACCAUAUUACCCUCUUGAGCAAUCAGUGCCACGUUUGGAACAGGCUUUUCAUCAGGCUGACAUAAUAUGGGGAACUGAAUAAGAAGAAGCACUAGCUAGGCUGAAAGAUCUGUUCUUGGAAGAUGAGGACAUGGAUUGCUGUGCCAUAAUUGAGGAGGAGGAAGAAGGCCUUACCAUUCAGACCAUGGCAAAUGGAGCUGUUCUCAAAAACUGGACCGCCACACCAUCCCGAGCCCACCGAGCCCCUAGGUAGCUAGGCAGAAUUUAUAGCUGUUCUAAGCAUUUAAAAUUUCUGGCAAUUUUGUUUUAAGAUUUCUUUGUUUCAAAAUAAAUGCUCGAUUCAUCGAGCCGUGCUUUGUCUGAACAAUUUCUCAAAGUUUUAAUCAAAUGCAUUUGCUCUUUAUUAUUCACUACUAUCUUUACACUUUUUAUUUCCACAACUCAAUUAUUACUAUUCCUGAUGAACCAGUGACUGUGACAUGUAAUAAGGCAACACAACAUGAGAAUAGUGAUUCAAAGGACGAAGAUGAGAUACC